ACGUCAAGUCCUCAUGGCCUUUAUGUCCAGGGCUACACACGUGCUACAAUGGGUGGUACAAAGAGCAGCGAGCUCGCGAGAGUAAGCGAAUCUCAAAAAGCCAUCCUCAGUUCGGAUUGGAGUCUGCAACUCGACUCCAUGAAGUUGGAAUCGCUAGUAAUCGCGGAUCAGCAUGCCGCGGUGAAUACGUUCCCGGGCCUU
rnacentral:rRNA from 1 species